rnacentral:lncRNA from 1 species
CUAGAUUUGAGAAGAACCUUUUACAGCGUUUACGAGAAUUUGCAUUUCAGGAAGAUCCUUGGUUACACGAAGUGGUUAAAAGAAUAUGUGGCGGUUAAUUUUGGAAUCUCCCCAGGGUAACUGGAUAUUGAAGUAGACAUGAAAGGAUGUAGGUAUCACCAACAUUGUAUUGGAAAUUUAUUCUUUUCAAUUCCAAUAGCCCUGCAUCAUGUGAGUGAACCAAUAAUUUUAGACAAAAUUUCCUCUCGAUUUGGUUAUUGUUA